CUUUAUUGUUUACGCGGUAAAUCCAAAAUGGAGUCGGACGGUAGAAGAAUGCAACUUUUGCGUCAUUCUAUGCAGAAAACAAUUGACAAAUUUGCCUCUGUUGCAAAAUUUAAAGUGUUUGCACAGAACUUAAAACCAAUAUAUAAGAAAGAUCCAGAUGGUUUCAGGCACAUGCACACUCAAAUGAUAAGCCAGUUCAGUCAGCAUUUAUCUGAAGAAUUAGAAUGUAUGUAUAAAGAGGAGAGAUUACCAGAAUUAUUGAAGCAGUUGGAUACACUCAGUAAAAAUUCUGAUAAAAGUCUGGGUAAUGUCUGGAGACCUAGUGGUGAGCCUGAAGUUGAUAUACAAGCACACCUUCUUCCUGUUAAAAUUAAACAAAGAGAUGAAUUAAGAGAAAUGUUAAAAACAUUAGAGUCACAGAAUAGAUUAUUACAAGGUGCUCUGAAAUCAAAACAAAUGAAAAUAAUGGAAACAAAUGAUAAAAUAGAAGAAUAUCAUGACAAAUGGAAGCAGAUUUCAGAGAGCUUUGCUUCCGAGAAGAUGGUUGAAUUAAAUAAAGUUUAUGAACAUCAACUUCAGAAAUGAGCAUUAAUAACUAUCUGGAGUUAUUCACAUUGGUUAUAUAUCUAAUCAGACAUACAGAACAUUCUUAUACACAAAUUUUAAAUAAUAAUGUAAAUAUGUAUUUUUAAAAAAUUAAUUUCAUUAUCCUUGUAAAUACGCAAUGUUAUGGAAUAUUAAAAUAUUCAAAGAUUAUUUUAGAAUUCUUUCUUAGUACUGUACACUUUUAAACUCCAGAAAAUUUCACUAGGCUUUCAAUCCAGAUUGAUGCAAUAUAACAAUAACCUUCUUUUUGAAAUGAGGAGUUUUGACAAAGAUGCAGUAAAUUAGAAAUGAAAUGCUCUUCAGCACUAAUGAGGCGAAUGAAGACAGGCAAAUGCUGUGCAGUGGGCUAUGGUCGUGUUUUCGGCAAUUGUUCAAUUGAAUUUCAACUGUUCAGGAUUCUUUUAUGUACAUGCCAACGUGUACAUAGGAUCUUAUUUUUGGUCGCAUCCUAACGACUUGACACUAUUCCUUGCCAGGCCCUGCGUCACUGGCGCCACUGGCAAAGGGAAGGAACCUGCUCGGAAAAUCCUGAGGAACUUUGUUGGUCAACAGUGGGAUUGAACCCCAGUAAAUCAUUGAAUUUACUGGUAUUUAUUGAGAAAUGGAAAGAAACUGUCUUUUUUAAUUUAAUAAUAUACCUUCUGUUAUCUCAGUUAUAAAAAUAAAAUCUUAACAGGUUUGUGGGGGUUUAUCAUUUUUAGUGAUAGUGCUAGAAAGAUUGUUAUGUUUCAGAUUCUUCGAAUAGUCUUCGAAGUUUGGUGCUAAAUGUUUUUUUGCAAUUAAUUAAUAGUUGCCUUUUACGUUUAGUACAGUAUCUUUGUUUUCUUUAGUAUUAUUCAAAAUGAUUCAUGUAGUCAUGCAUCAAAUUUAUAUGUAUAUUGCUAAUAAAACUACAAAGAUG